GAUCAUGGCUCAGGAUGAACGCUAGCGACAGGCUUAACACAUGCAAGUCGAGGGGCAGCAUAAUUUGUAGCAAUACAGAUUGAUGGCGACCGGCGCACGGGUGAGUAACGCGUAUGCAACUUACCUAUCAGAGGGGGAUAGCCCGGCGAAAGUCGGAUUAAUACCCCAUAAAACAGGGGUCCCGCAUGGGAAUAUUUGUUAAAGAUUCAUCGCUGAUAGAUAGGCAUGCGUUCCA
rnacentral:rRNA from 1 species